rnacentral:siRNA from 1 species
GGGCGUCGGCCUGUGGGC